rnacentral:rRNA from 1 species
AUGAACGCUAGCUACAGGCUUAACACAUGCAAGUCGAGGGGCAGCAUGGUCUUAGCUUGCUAAGGCCGAUGGCGACCGGCGCACGGGUGAGUAACACGUAUCCAACCUGCCGUCUACUCUUGGACAGCCUUCUGAAAGGAAGAUUAAUACAAGAUGGCAUCAUGAGUCCGCAUGUUCACAUGAUUAAAGGUAUUCCGGUAGACGAUGGGGAUGCGUUCCAUUAGAUAGUAGGCGGGGUAACGGCCCACCUAGUCUUCGAUGGGUAGGGGUUCUGAGAGGAAGGUCCCCCACAUUGGAACUGAGACACGGUCCAAACUCCUACGGGAGGCAGCAGUGAGGAAUAUUGGUCAAUGGGCGAGAGCCUGAACCAGCCAAGUAGCGUGAAGGAUGACUGCCCUAUGGGUUGUAAACUUCUUUUAUAAAGGAAUAAAGUCGGGUAUGGAUACCCGUUUGCAUGUACUUUAUGAAUAAGGAUCGGCUAACUCCGUGCCAGCAGCCGCGGUAAUACGGAGGAUCCGAGCGUUAUCCGGAUUUAUUGGGUUUAAAGGGAGCGUAGAUGGAUGUUUAAGUCAGUUGUGAAAGUUUGCGGCUCAACCGUAAAAUUGCAGUUGAUACUGGAUAUCUUGAGUGCAGUUGAGGCAGGCGGAAUUCGUGGUGUAGCGGUGAAAUGCUUAGAUAUCACGAAGAACUCCGAUUGCGAAGGCAGCCUGCUAAGCUGCAACUGACAUUGAGGCUCGAAAGUGUGGGUAUCAAACAGGAUUAGAUACCCUGGUAGUCCAGACGGUAAACGAUGAAUCCUGGCUGUUUGCGAUAUACAGCAAGCGGCCAAGCGAAAGCGGUAAGUAUUCCACCUGGGGAGUACGCCGGCAACGGUGAAACUCAAAGGAAUUGACGGGGGCCCGCACAAGCGGAGGAACAUGUGGUUUAAUUCGAUGAUACGCGAGGAACCUUACCCGGGCUUAAAUUGCAGAUGAAUUACGGUGAAAGCCGUAAGCCGCAAGGCAUCUGUGAAGGUGCUGCAUGGUUGUCGUCAGCUCGUGCCGUGAGGUGUCGGCUUAAGUGCCAUAACGAGCGCAACCCUUGUUGUCAGUUACUAACAGGUUCCGCUGAGGACUCUGACAAGACUGCCAUCGUAAGAUGUGAGGAAGGUGGGGAUGACGUCAAAUCAGCACGGCCCUUACGUCCGGGGCUACACACGUGUUACAAUGGGGGGUACAGAGGGCCGCUACCACGCGAGUGGAUGCCAAUCCCCAAAACCUCUCUCAGUUCGGACUGGAGUCUGCAACCCGACUCCACGAAGCUGGAUUCGCUAGUAAUCGCGCAUCAGCCACGGCGCGGUGAAUACGUUCCCGGGCCUUGUACACACCGCCCGUCAAGCCAUGGGAGCCGGGGGUACCUGAAGUGCGUAACCGCGAGGAGCGCCCUAGGGUAAAACUGGUGACUGGGGCU